GCCGACGCAUGAUUCCACUGGGUGUCACAUGUGUUCUUGAUUCGAACCCAUUUCUAUGUUGUCAAUAUUUGCAUUAGAGUUUCGUUUAGAGUCUCUCUUCUGUCAUGUCCCCUCAACCGCUGUAGUCAGGCAGUUGCUUUUCCUCGGUGUUUCCACUCCCAUAGUUUAUCCUUUGCUUAUGAAUAGUGUUUUUUCUCCUAGAUCCCUGCAGAUUGUUCAGGGACAUUACACCACCACCAGUGGAGAAGUCCAUUACAUUCUAUUAUACCAUAGUGUAUUAGUCUCUGUGUACAAUGUUCUCCUGGUUCUGCUCCUCUCGCUCUGCAUCACUUCCUGGAGGUUGUUCCCCUCUGGAGACUUUUGAUGGGAUUAAGUCCAACUUGAUUGUGUUGGAUAUACCCCGAGGCCAAAACCUCCUGGAAGGCUGGAGCAAUAUGGAGGAGCUCCCUGCUGUGACCAGGGUGCCCACUCCAUGCUCCCUCUCCAGCUCCUUCCCCACCACCUGUGUUUGACUCUCUUAAUAUGGCACAGCCCUGUCAGCAAGGUACACCCUCCAGACAAGAGCCUUUGCCUGUUCUGCUGGAGGCUUAGCGCUCUAGGUGUGUGUGUGUGUGGGGGGGGCGUCCUGGGACCUUCCUUCUGCCUUCCCCUUAAACCCGAGUGUUCUCGAAUUCCAGCUUUUAGGGGGCAUACCUUUUGAAAUGAGUCCAGCAUGAGGGUUCCUUGGUUCUUUUUUGUUGUUAGGUUUGAUUUUUAGUACACUAGUAGCAUUUAGUUUGUAAUUGGUAAGGAAGGGUUUUCAGGGGUCUGAACUUUUGCUACCUCUACUCCACCAUCUUGACUCUGCUUCUCUCUUUCCAACUCAUUCUGAUUUUCUUUGGAGGUCUUCUGAAAUCAUUCUGUUCAUCAUUUCUUAUAGUAUAAUAGUAUUCCAUCAACAUCAUAUAGCACAAUUUGCUCUGCCAUUGCCUAGUUGAUGGAUAUCUUCUUCAACUUCCAAUUAUUUGCCAAGACAUAAAGAGCAGCUAUUAAUUUUUUUUUACAAGUAAAUCUGUUCCCAAUUGUUUUUAUCUCUUUGGAAUGUAGACUUACUAGUGGUAUUACUGGACCAAAGAGUAUACAUUGUUUUAUAGCCCAAUAGGCAUAGUUCCAAAUAGACAUUCAGAAUGAUGGGAUGAGUUCACAAUUCCACCAGCAGUGCAUUAAGUAGUGUCCCCAUUUUGCCAAAUCCCCUCCAACAUUUAUCACUUUGCUAUGUAAAGAUUGAAAUUUAGGGGAUUCUGAGGCAGGUAGAAAUUAGUUUCUCUCUGCAAGGAGUAUUAUAUUUUCAUGAGGUUUAUUAAAGAUUCCGGAUUAAAGAAAAUACAGGCUAAGAAAGCACGUGACUAGGACAGAGAGAGGCCUAGACACAACCUCACCUACAUUAUGGAAAGAGCCACAUCUGCUUGCAAGCGGAAACAGGGAAGAAAAGAGGCCCCAAAGCCUUUGCAAUCAGGUUAAAUACCCCAUCUUGUUCUUGGCCCAGGUGAGGUUACAAAGCAUUAUGGGGAAGUGGAGCAAGGGCUUGUGGGGACUGAAGUCCAGAAUUCAAAUCCAUUUUUUACAGCUAUUAUAUUGUCCAGUCUGAUAGAUGUGAGAUGAUACCUCAGAGUUGUUUUAAUUUGUAUUUCUCUAAUCAAGGGGGAUUAAAAACAUUUUUCCAUAUGAUUAUCAAUAGCUUUGAUUUCUGCAUAUGAAAUUUACUUACUCGUAACCUUUCAUUUCCAUUGAUUUUCAAAGGUUGAUUUUGACAGCACAUCACUAUCACAGUCUUAAUUGUCUUGGGGUCCUCUGGAUAUUGAAAAAAUCUGAAUCAGAAAGACUUAAUAAGUAUGCUAAAACUAAAAAAAAUUGCAUCUCUGUCCAAGGAAUUAUAUUGUUGAAGUUAUCUACCUGGGCAGGAAGUGAAUUCAUUGAAGCAUAUAUUUAAAGCAAGAUAGAACCAUAGAACAUUGUAUCCAAUCACUUCCUUUUAAUAGGUGAAGAAGUGUGAAGUCACUUAAGAUCAUUUGGCAAUAAGUAGUAGAGAGAAUUUGAACUCAGAUUUUGUGAUUCUUAAUCUAGUGUUCCCUUUAUUACAUAUUAUAGUCCUCUAAGCUCAUAGAAACCAUAAAAAUAAAGUAUAAUUUUGAUUUCUCCUUGAGGGCCUUUAUCAUCCUCAGGACUGAAGGACGGCAUAUGCCAUUCUCAAGUAUACGGAGUUUGUUCACACUUAAUCUAGCACAGAAAGAGGGAAUUUAAGUUCAUUUGAUUCUUCAAUUUCAGAAUGGCCAAAGUCACUGGAGAAAAAAGUAUUGAUUAAAUGUUCAUUUCUGAAUUUAUAAAAUGAUUUAGCUAUUUUCUCACCUCAGGGUUACAUUGUUAAGGGACAAGAUAGUAGGGAAUAUAAUUAGUUAUACAUGAGUACAGCAAAUACAUAUCCAUGUCCAUUAAAGGGAUGCUAUCAAGAAAAGAGGAUGAAGGAAGGUGGCUUUGCAGUCCCAAAUCUCAAACUAUACUAUAAAGCAGUGGUUAUCAAAACAAUAUGGUACUGGCUAAGAGACAGAAAGGAGGAUCAGUGGUGUAGACUUGGGGUAAGUGACCUCAGCAAUAUAGUCAAUGAGUUUGGUUUUUAAAGAAAGGGGAAAGAGUAUUUCCAGGCAGGCCAUCUCUAUUCACCUUGAGUAUCUCCAUGAGAGCUAUUGAGGGAAACACAAUGGACCAAGGCCUUGAAUUCUUAACAUGAGUUUCACUUGUUGGGAAUUUUAUAGUGGAUUCUUUAUUUUUAUUUUUUAUGGGUUAGACUAGGUAGCCUCUUAAGUACCUUAUAAUUCUGGGAUACUAUAAAACUUCAACUAUUUAAUGGACCAAAAUUUUAGUGACGAAGCUGUAGGUAUACAAAGAUUUAAACAAUAACCAUUCCCCUCUUAAUAUUAUAUUCUGUUAGAAAGAGGAUCAUUUAUACAUUUUGCUUCCCUACAUAAUGGCUGACCAAUCUUAGUCUCAGUGAGAGCUCUGUAAGCCCCUUCUACAGAUUUAGUUGCCCUUAAGGCUUGCAGCUAGUGUAUGGAAGGGGGAGGCCUGUUUCUGACUUGCUUGGUUAUAUAGCUUGUGUUGGAUUGCCCUCCGAUUUUACCCCAUGUGAUAGAACUUUGCUGUCAAUCUUCUAGGUUGUCUUACAGAAGAAAAUUAUUUCACCUCAUCCUUUUCUUGGGUUCUGCUACUCCAGAAUUCAUUUUGACAUAUUCUUUUUAAAGUUGUUUAGAGGGGGAUUUGGUAGAGCUCAGGUGAGAAUUUUCACUACCAUUUUGGUUUCACAGGAUGGAUAUUUUUAGGAUUGAGACACAUGAGAAAAAAGGAGGCUGAUAACCAUGCUUAUAAGAGGAAACUCAACAUAUCUGAUUGAAAAGCUUUAAUUCUGUGAAAAUUAUAGAAACUAAAAUACUAAAUACAUUUAAGAUUCAUGAAUCAAAAAUGAAAGUCGAGAAUAGGCAGAAAGUGAAGAUAAAUAAUGAACAGAGUGUGGGAAAGAAAUCCUUUCUAGAAAAAAAGUACAGAAUGUUAUAUUUUAAAAACUAAUGAACAAAAAUUGAAGGGGAAUAGAGGAUUAGGGUUUUUAAUUUGACUUUGUGGAGUGAAGAGGGAGACUUAAAUAACUAGAUUAAAGGAAGAAAGAAAAAAUGGAACUCAAGUAAAAUGAUUAAAUUAGGGAAAAUGGUAACAAAUUGGAGAUAGAGUUGGUGAGGAGGAGAGAAAGAACACUAGUGGAAAUAAAGUUGCCUCAAGGAGAUUAAGAUAAAAUAACUGAAGAAACAAAGUAUUGUAUUCACAGAAGAAGAAAAUCCUGUUUUGAUUAAAUAUCUUUGUGGCCAUAUCUAUUUGAAAGUCAGACGUUAUACCCUGACUUAUGAAUAUAACACCUUGAUUGUAGCUUUUAUUUCUUUAAUGAGACAGUGUGAUUUAACUUUUAUUAUUUUGGUUUAAAAUGCCUUUCCUAAAACCAAAACCUACCAGAAUAGUCAGAACUGCCUCAAUAGAAAGUGAGAGGCUAAAAUGAUGGAAGCGUGAUGCAUAUAAAGUAUACUAUACUUUUAAAAAAUACUUUAAUUACAAUUUAGAUUUUUUCAUGCAGUUUUACAGAAAGGAUACCAAACAGUGAAUUCACCAAAAUUAGUCACUUCAUGACAAUACAAAUACUGUAAAGGUUUGAAUACAUAUUGUUUAAUCUAUUUUUUCAUAAAACUGUUGGGGCUGACAUUUCAUACAGUGCUACUAUAAAUGUUUAUGAUGCCAUAUUAUCCCAAAUAUUUCCAAAAGACAUUUUAUGAAUACUAGCUUUUUAAAAACUCUAACCUUUCAUCUUAGAAUUGAUACUAAGGCAGAAGAGUAGUUAAGGGUAAGGCAAGAAGAGUUAAGUGAGUUAUCCUGAGCCAUACACCUAGGAAGAAGGCGUUGGCAGGAACUGUGCAAAGCUGUUGCUUGAAGAGAUUUAUAGAGGAGGUUGCGUGGAUUCCACCAACUAAAGCUUAGUUCUGCUCCACAUGACCCUUAGACAGCAGGAUGUUUCCAAAGUCCUGCUAGGACCGCUGUCUCCCUACACAAUAGAAUUUUUGUGUCAUUUGAAGAGUUUCUUCCAAGUAUUGCUCAAAAUUGAAUUUAUGGAAUGACCUACGGUCACAUUUGAACCCAGGACCUCACAUCUCUAGGCCUGGCUCUCAAUACACUGAGCCACACAGCUGUCCCCACUCCCCUUUUUUUGAAACCUAGCUUUUUUUAAACCAAAAUGUAUGAAACUCUAAGAAGGAUUUCUUAUUUGUUGUUCAUAUCACGCAACUUAUAAAUGAAAAGCUAAGUUAUCAUGGAGACAUACAUACAUUUAUACAUACAGAAGCAUAUGUCUCACCCUGACCUUUUGUUGGCCCUCCCACUCCACAAUUUGAUUUGAUGCUUUAUUUUAUAGUUGUUUGAAGGGUGAUGUUGAUAGUCCUGACGGAUUGCCUCUAACCUGCCAUCUUGGCUUUGUCCCCUUUAGGCUAGUUCUCUUUUCAUAAGUUUUUUUCCCCAUGACAUGCCUUUCUUUUCUUAUUUUUUCUCUCAAAACUAUCAUCUCUUUCUUUAAUUCUUCCAUAAAUUCUUGUUGUCCUUGGGUCCAAGUAGAAUUUUUCUUUGAAGUUUGUUUGUGACUAUUUUCACAUUGUCUUCUUCUGAGUUUAUGUCUUAGUUUUCUCUGCUUUUGAAUGUGUGUGUGUGUGUGUGUGUAUUCGUGUUCAUUUUCUUAUCUCUUGACUUUGAACUUUAUGUUAAAAUUUGGCUUUGUUCACAUGUCCCAAGAUUUAGGCUCUUUUAUGGUGGUAUUUUCAAAGCUAGUUCUGGGAAUCUGCGAGUUUUUGUUGAUUCCAAGGUACUGUGGAGAGGUUUGUUCAAAAUGCUUCUGGUCUGCACUCUACUUUUUGCCCAGGAAGAGCUCCUGUUCCUCUACAGUCACAAAUACUAGUGCUCUCUUUGCCUUGGAAAUAAGACCAGGCCCCAUGGUCCCUUGUGACUGACCAUCAGCAUUUCUCUCUGCCCUGGAACUGUGAUCCAGGCCUGGGUAUAGGAAAUAGAGUUGCCAAUCAGCACCAGCUGUACCCUGUUCCCCUAAUAAGGAGCAGAAAAUCCUAUUGACCUUAAAAUCUAAUUUGGACUGUAGAAUGCAAUGAGUAUGAUUUUGCUUACAACCUUCAGGGCAAGCCAAGAAGUAAGUUAUACAGACUUUUAAAAUCUUCCAAGUCUCUUCUAUUCACAAUCUCUCUCAUGAAGGCAGAAAAAUUUACUGGAAAGAACUCUUUCCCUAGGCACCAGAGUAGUGACUUUAAUCCAAUUUCCUACUUUCUCUCAUAGGACAUGUAAUCGUGAGCCUUAGAAGAGAUAUGUUUUGAAAUCUAGUUAAAUCCUCUUUACAUGUAUGCUGGUAUGCCGUUAUUUGGGGAAGAUUGUUAAGAAUCAUAGUCUCAAUUUUUAUGACAUUUUUAUUGACCUUUAUGUUUUUAAUGAAAUAAAUUUUUUUUCUUGUAACUUCAUAUGCUUUCGGGGUUCCAGCAAUGUGGUUUUAUUAACAAGUUUCCAGCCAAUCUAGUGUUAGCCUUGUUUGGUUUUGAGAGACAAAAAAAAACCUAGUUAAGAAUGAAUGUCUCCUCCUCCUCCUCUUCCUUCUCCUCUUUCUUCGUCUUUUUCUUUCACUUCAUUGAACGUCUUUUUCUUUCACCUCAUUGAACACAGAAAUUUUUGCAAUAGAUCUUUCCUUUUUGAAGUAACCAGUUUAGAUACCAUGAAUAUGUUAAAAGAAAGCUUUAGUUGUGAGUAUUUGGAAUGCAGGAAUUUUUUGUGUCUGGAUCCCCUGGUGUCAUCUUUUAAUUCCAAGCCUUGAAGAAAAAUGGUUCCACUGGGCCCCCAAAGAAGUACGAAGAAAUUGAGUUUAAGGCUAUGCCUUAAAAGAAAGCUAAGGAUUCUAAGAAGUAGACCAUAAAGAGGGAGCACAUUCUAGGAGUGGAGGAACAAACCUUGCAUAGAGGUAGGAGAUGGAAUACCAUGUGUAAGGUAAAGCAAAUUUUUAAGUUUGCCUCAAAUAAUAAUGAUAAUGAAAAUAAUAAUGGCUGAUUUUUUAUAGAGUUUUAAGACUUAAAGAGUGCUCUACUAUUUCAUUUUAUCUUCACAACCUGAUGUUAUUCCCAAUUUAUAGAUAAACUCAAAUUCGGAGUUUCCUUCCCUUGAAUGGAAUAUGAAGUGUAUUAAGAAAACUAACGUGUGGUGGUUGUAUUGUGGUCGUGGUCAUUGCCCAUUUUACUGGAAGAGGAUCGAAAUUAUAUCACUGGUAAUAUUGUUUUGGCUUGUCCAUAAAUUGUAUUUAAGUGAGGCAGAGUUGUACCAAGGCAUCAGAAACCUGAAAUGGUAGACCCAUGCCAGAGGAACUAGAAAUUGAAGCAUAUUGAAUCAGGAGACAGUGAGAUAGGCAGACCUAUGUGGUGGAGGAUGAAUUUGACAAGGAAGAGACCUGAGGGAAUGCCACGUUUAAGAGGUUAUUUUAGUAGUUUUACAAGAGGCCAUCAGAGCCCAAACUGAGUUGGUAGUCAUGUUGAUGCAAAGAGGAGGACACAUUGUGGAGGUAAAAAUGAUAAAAUUUGGCAAUUGACUAGAUAUGAUAUUAAUAAAUUCAUUCAGGGGAAGAGAGAGGGAGAAGUCAGGAAAUGAGGUCCUAUUUUUUAGAAGAGGAAAGAUUUUUGUUUUGAGGCAUGAAUGCUGGGAGUUUCAUUUUCUAGGAACUUUUUAUUUAAUAGAUGUCACAUUAACACCCUACACAGUAUACUGUUAACACUGUGAAUGCAUCAUUUUUAUAAAAUUUAUAAAUUUAGUUUGGCAAGUUGGUUUCAAGAAAUUAAUUAUACAUAUAUAUCAGACAGAAUUAUUGUGCAAAAACCAAUAAAAAUUUCAAUUAAACAUCUAAAUAAUAAGUUUAAUCGUAGUCUUAAGCUGCAUUACCUGAUUUGCAUAUAUUUUCAUUUGAAAAAUAUGUUCUAUAAGGUGAACAUUGCUCUUUUGGAACAUCCAAGCUCUGUUAGUUAUUUCUGCUGCAUAAAUGGGACAUACAUCAUUUUAUCAAACCCAUUUUUGUUGAGUCUGCAGUUAUUGAGGAAAAAAUCUCCUUUUUCUCUUAAAUUGCUUAAAUUUAGAUAGUGCUUUAAAUAUGGAUGUUUUGUGCGAAUUAUAGAUAAAGGAGGAGAUAGUAGCAUAAGACAUCUGAGCAAUAGGAGAUAAGGAAUAGAGAAGAGAAAAUAAUGGCUAAUGGCCUCAAUUUUUCUGUAAAUUAUAAGGUCAGGUUUUCAGCUGAGAUACUUAAGGGUAAAGGGGACAAUGAGGGAUUUGAGGAGGGAUAAAAAGAUUUUGUAGAGGUACUCUAGAGAUUGAGUUGAUGAGGGAGAUGUUGUAGCAUUGGGUAGCAGCAGUAAGGGACCAGUCGAGUUUGCAUAACAUAAAUUUACUGGCUGGAGUCAUCAUAUGUGACUUUCUCCACUUUCAUUGAGCAACAUUCAUAUAGGAGAGAAGACAAUGAAUUGUGGUAGUGUUAAAAAAUACCAAGGUUUAUUAUAGGGCAAUGAGUGAUAUGAUGAAUUAGCUAUGUGCCCAACAGAAGAAGACAGUAUAACUAUUUCACCAAGGGGGUCAGGAUUGGAAAGAAAUAAGGGAAGAUCGUUUGGGAGAGAACUGAAGGGUUAAGGAAUUUGAAGUCAUUAUAUGUACAGAGGAGUGACUUAGUGAUCUUUGACAACAGUUAUCAGGAUUUUAAUUGAUUGAUAUAUAUUAAUUUUAAGAAACUCAGAAGAGGACAGAGUACUGAGUGCGGAGUACCUGAGAAUGGCCGAGGGAAUGUCAAGAAGUGUUCCAUUUUCCCUAUCUUAACCACUGAGCCAAGGAGAAUGAGUGAAGGGGAAGCCAAUAAUGGAAAGGGUGCUCAGGGAUGCCAUGUCAUCACUGUGGAACCAGCUUCCAUUAAUAGCCACGUGUUCUCUAGUGUAUCAAUUUGUGUAGCUUUCCUCAGCAUUAAACAGCAAGUAUUUCUGUACCCUUAUCCUUUAUCAUAAACUGAAUUAUUAAAUUUAAGUAGAGGAUUUCACAUUUUUAAUCCCUAGAGGCCUUAAAAACCCUCAAGACAUAGUUUGGGGGUUAUCAAGUGUUUAGAUCUGAGGCCUCUUUGAACUCUUCAUAAUUAUUAAGGAUCCCUCAAAGUACUUUUAUUUAAAUCUUUAUAUUUACAUAUAUAUAUCAUACUUUAUUUGCCAUAUUAGAAGUUGAAAGCUAUUAGUGUGAUGAAAAUACUUUUGACCAUAUUGACCCCCCCCCAAAUGCUAUUCAUCUGAGCCUUCAGCUAGUUGUAAUCUUUUUUUGGCAGAAGGUCUUAUCUUGAUUUGACGUGCUACUGACUGCUCAACGUGGUAGUUCCAGGUUGGGGUGGCUGUGGCAAUUUCUUAAAAUAUGACAGUGAUGACGUUUGCUGCAUUGACUCUUCCUUUAACUUGAACACUUAAGAGUCCACUCUAGGGUUACUAAUUGGUCUAAUUUCAAUAUUGUUGUUUCUCGGGGAAUAGAGAGGCCCAUGAAGAUGGAACAAUUUGUCUGUGGAGCAAUUAGAAUACGCAACAUUCAUCAUUUAACUUCACUGUCUUAUGUGGGGAGGGGUCAUGAUACUUCAAAACAAUUAUAAUAGUAACAUUAAAGAUCAUUGUUCUCAGAUCACCAUAACAGAUAUAAUAGUAAUGAAAACAUUUGAAAGAUUGUGAGAAUUACCAUAAUGUCAUAGAGACAUGAUAUGAACCUGUGCUGUUGGAAAAAUGGCACUGAUAGACUUGCUUCAUGCAGAGUUGCCACACACUUUCAAUGUAUUAAAAAAUGCAUUACCUCUGAAGCUCAAUAAAGCUAAACACAGUAAAACAAGGUAUGCCUGUAUGUUUCUCUAAAGUUUAAAGUAUGUUUUAAAGCUCAGGCCUUUGAUAUCAUUAGUAUUGGGAAAUUCCUAUCACCAAUGCAAAUCAACAAGUUGUCCAUAAUUUACAUUAUUGGAGAAUUGUCUUAGAUACCAAGAGAUUAGGUGACUUGCUAAUGGUCAUAUAGCCUGUGUCAGAUGCAGAACUUGAACCUUACUAGGACCAUAUUUCCAAAUAUACAAAUUCCUUAUGUUAGGGGUAACUUUAUGGUUGGACUGAAUAUAUAUUUUUAGUUGGUCGCCAGGGAUUUGAUUUCUAAAUCCCAAUGAAAUACUCAAGUCAGAAUGAAAUUUUAUUGUUGUUUAUAUACAAUAGAAGGAAGAAAUUAAGAAUGAGGGAGAGAGGGGGGAAAGGGAAGAUAGCUACCUUGGCCUGGUCUGAAUCUGGCAGGGGUUCAGAAGCCUCAGCUAAGGGGUCUCUCCAGAGGCUAGUGACUCCAGAAAGCACAAGGGAAAGGGAGUCUCAAGAGAUGGACCUUUCCAGAGGCUGGUGCCUCCAGAAAAACCAAGGAAAGGGGAGUCAGCCUUAUCACUCACCACAUACAUGAUCAUCUAAGAGAAGCAGUGUGAGGUCUCAUGCUGGAGCUCCUCCACAGUCAAGUUCCACUGCUAAGUCCCUCUCACAGGAAGUGACGUGAAAUAUAAAGGCAGUUCUUUAAGUCAUUUCCUGUGUCUCACAUGUACCAAUGAUAACUUAAAUUUGGCUUUUGGACACCCCAGGGGGUCAGUCAGUUAUUUCUGAUUUGUCACUUGCUAGCACAGACCAUCCUCCCCCACACUUAAUCCUUAAGUGGGGGUGUAUACAUUCCUGUUUGCUAACAUUCUAAAGACUAAGCAGGGUGGAAUAAAUCUAAAAUCCACACUCAUGAAUCAUAAAGGAGUUUACUUUUAGCCUGACUUUUACCACCUUCUCAGAUGUCCUUGUCUUAACAAGUUGCUGCCUGUACCUAAAUAAUAGACCAGAUGCUCUGCACUGGGACACUUGGGGAAAAUGCAUAUUAUGAGGAAAUGGGACCCUAAAAAGUUAGGUCUGGGUCAGUAUGGAGAGAAGGUAGUAAUACCUGUCAAGAGUAAAUGACUAAGUAUCAGGAGCCUUUCUUCAUUAUUCUUCCUUGUCACGAGAUAAUAUUUUCAACAUUGUAAAAAUGCUCAUUGUUUUGGACACUUGGUUCUUUUCCAUUACCUCUAGAAAGCAGAUUCCUAGUCAACCAGUAGCUGGCUGUGUUUUUGUUUGGGGGCAUUACAUGAUCACUAAUUACUUGUGUUUUUUAUUCCCAUUCAUAGUUACAUUUGUAAACAUAAGGAAGAUCCUUCCAGACUAUUAAUGAGAGAGCCAUACAAGAUCACUUCCAGCAUGGCCAUGGACGUCUGUUCAUAUUAGAGGGCAGAGGCACACAGCAGGACGUGAUAGGAGAUUUAAUCAAAGAUGUAAAAGCUCAAGCCCAGAGAGGUGAAGUCAUUUUUUUCCACCCCGAGUGUACAUAGAUGACCUCCCUCCUUUUGUGCCUCAGAUUCUGUUGAUCACCAGUGAUGAAUCCCCUUUCCUCCUCCUUCUUGAAGUCGAUCCCCCACGUGGCUUGACCAUCUGUAAAGUGCCUGUGUUAGCAUCACUGGAGCGGCUCAUAGGUGUCCCCAGCAAAACUACCUUUAUAAGUUCAAGAGGUACCUGAAACAGGUAAGCCACUAUUUUUGCAUCUUUCAAGGAUCUUGAUUGAAAGGAUCAGAAAAAGGGAUUUUAUGAAUGUAUGUACUUCCAUUAUAGUGUUCCUUCUUAGGGACAUUGCUACUUGUAAAGCAAGUGAUUUUAAAACGGCAACUUAGCUUUAGUCUUUAGAGAUAGCUAUCAGUCUGUACAAAUGCAAAAGUUAAUUGACUGGAGGAGUUCAAUUAUCUCAACUUGACUGAAUCAACUAUUCUAACCAAAAUUUAGAUUCAGGUGUGCCUGCAAACAUAUUUCUAAUCAUUAUGAGUGUUUUCAUAUAUGGGUUUUUUUGAGUCUACAUAUCUAUUAUCUUUCUAUCCAUUUUAUUUUCUAAGGUCUCUUCUAUCAUUUAUUUGGGCACUUAAACCAAAGUGACUCAGAAAAAUAGGUAUUUUGUGUAACAUUAUGUUAAUUGAGCAGAAAUUGGUCUAAGAAUUUUUUUCCAUUUUUUUCUUAGUUGAAUAGAAUGUUAUUCCUAUUUAAAAGGGAUAAUCUUUUCUAUCAGAGAAUUUUGUGUUGUCUGAACUCAAGUGAAAUGUACUACUCUAUCCUAAAACUUCAGUGCCUUUGAAAAAUCAGAUUGCUUGUCAGUGAUGUGAGAUCCUUAGGAAAAACAAGAUAACUUCAAGAAGAGUUGAGUAAGCUUCAGGAAUUCACUAAGUAAAUUGGCUUAUGAAUAGUGGCUAGGCAAAAAAAAUUGGAGGAUAUCGUGGGUGCAUAAAGCAAUAAGGGUAAGAGUGAUUUGUUAAGUGGAAUUUCUGAGAACCACUUUUUUGAGGGAAACAUUUUGUUAAACUAUAAAAGGUUGCUACUUUAGCAAAGUGGCAAUUUUCUGUUUAUCUGAAAAGAUGAUUCAUGUGGUUUGAAAAGUGGAGAAUAGUGCAAGAGAUCUGUGUAGAAGGGAAGUCAAGGAAGAGUUAAUGUGUUCCUUAGUUAAUUCUAUCCAAAAUUUCUUCCAAGGUCAUUCAAGAGGUAAGAAAAUGGUAAUCUUUCUAAGAAUCAACUGAAAAAUCUAUAAUAAAAACAGAGCAACAGACUCAGAUAUAUGGGCAGACACAGAAAAUGUUAUUAUAGACAAUGAGUGAAUAGGUAGAGAUAUUGAUAGUUCCCUUAUGAUGAAAGUUGCUUGUGUAGCAAAUUAGAUUUUGUACUUGGAGUAGUAUAGUACAAGUGAAGGGAGUUAGAUAUAUUCCAUGGCCUAAGGACCCUCCUUGGUGGUUCUCUAUCUUAGAAGCAGACUAGGAAGAUACCUUAGGACUAGAAAACUCUUUUGGUAUUUCAGAAUCAUAAUAAUCCACUUCCUUAUGAUUCCAUCUCUCCUCCAUGACCCUACCUUCUAACAAAGGAGUUCACAUAAACAAAACUAACUGAAAUAUUAUCUACGCCGUCUAAUAUAGGUCUUACUCUGGUAUCUGUAUUCUUCUAGCUCUUUGCAGAGAGGAGAGAGGUAUGAUUCACUAUUGUUGUUCCUCUAAACUAUAGAGGGAUUACUGAAAUAAUAAGAGUUCAAUAGGUUUUCAAAUUAUUUUGCUUUCUAUUUUUUGUGGUCAUGUAGAAAUAUAGAAAUUGUUCUACUGGUCCUACUUAUUCCUGUCUGCAUUGUUUCCUACAAUUCUCAAGUCACAAAUUUCCCAGAAUUUUUCAAAUACAUGAUUUCUUAUAUCACAAUAAUAUCACCUAUAUUAAUAUAAUAUUUUUAGGUUUUUGCUACCAUAACAAAUAUAUAUUUUAAACCCUUAUCUUCUGUUGUAGAAUCAAUACUCUGUAUUGGUUCCAAGACAGAAGAGUAGUAAGUGCUGGCCAAUAGGGUUGAAGUGAUUUGCCCAGGUUCACAUAGCUAAUAAGUGUCUGAGGGCAGAUUUGAAUCCAAGACCUCCCAUCUCUAGGCCUGGCUCUCAAUCCACUGAGCCACCCAGUUGCCCCCCCCCAUACUGUAACAAAUAUUGCUACAAAUAUUCUUGUAUAUUUGUGUAUGUAGUCAUAUUAUCAAGUAUAUCACAAAGGAUAUAAUUGCAAAAAGCAGGUUAUGAUAGUUUGAUUUAUAUGAUAAGAAGUAUAUAAAUUAUUUUGAGUAAUAUUGUAAUUUUUACUCAAUUAGCAUGACCCAGCCAUAGAUAAGGAACAUUUAAAAAUAAUUUUUCAUCUAUUUACAGAGUGUUUUAUAGUAAUAUCUAAAUAAGACUGGUAUAAGAUUAGCACGGAUAAAUCUCAGAUAUUUUAUAUAUUCUAUAGUUUUUCAGGGUGAAAUUUUUCUAUUUUGAUCUAUUUAUAUGAAAGUAUAAGUUGUAUAAGCUAGUGUUUGUUGCUAUUCCAUAAAACACUAUAAUUUGGUUUUCUUUAUAAGCAACAGUGAGAAUUAUAUCUUUCAGGAAAAUAUAUAUAGCAUUAAUUAAAUUGAGACACUGUGGUAUAGUGCCGAGGUGUCAGACACUAUCUGCCAGCAGCAUGCAGCCCACAAUACUUCCCUUUGAGCCAAACCAAAUGCUAAUGUAUUUGGGAAAUUUUUAACAAAAUAAAGAAAAAUAAAACAGAAACAAGAUCAUGUUAGUUUGUGGCUAUCUGAGUCAAUAUGUGUCCUGAAGGGAUCUUUAGGUAUAGCUUAGUGGCCCCUAAUUUCUUGUUGAGUUUAAUACUCUAGUAUAGUAGAUAGAAUUGCAUCCUUUAUGCAAAGAUGAUCCGAGUUCAAAUUCCACCUGAAACACUGUGACGGUAGCAUUCUUCAAGUAUAUUCCUAGAAUUUAGCUGCAAAACUGGUUGAGAUCUGAUCUGUGUUGGUGGAGGGAGUUCUCAAACUAGAACAUUUUCAUGCUGAUGAAAUCCUAAAAAUUCUUGUGUUGGGAUUCAGUGGAAGUAAUACUGAAUUACAAAUACUAUCACCAGUUUCCUUGUAUGACCUCAGGCAUAUUAGCAAGUUUAACAUGUAAACGUGUAGGCAACAUAUGUUCCUGAAAAUUAUGACUCAUCAGUUUUCAUUCUUUUUUCAAUUCAUUACAGAUAAACCUGAAGUCAUGCAUUACUUAUCCUAUAAUUAUAGUGUUUCAAGAGUUUAGAGUAAUCACAUCUUCAGUACUAUUUAUUGCACGAUUGAAUAUUGUCAGAGGAAAUUGAUAGGAAUAGAAUUGAAACCAUAACAAGCCUGCUAUUUACUCUCUGAUGCUUAGUAUCUGUAUCACCUUGGGCAAGUCAUUUAACCCUCUUGGGUCUCCUCUCUAAAAUGUAGGAGUUGAAGUAUAUGGCUUCUGAAAUCCAUUCCAAUCCAACUAUUAUGUGUUCAGUGAUUAAUAUUACACCUGCUUGAAUGGAAACGCUACCUUGUUUGUAACAAACCAGGUUCUUUUUCGAAGCUGCUGCUUGUCUGGUAGGUACCAAAAUGAAGCUGUUUUGAAAGUAAAUAUUCUAUUUAGUAGAACACGUUUAAUUUAGAUAAUGCCUUUCUCUGGAGAAUUACUAAACACGUGAACUUAGCAUCCCAGACAAGUGUCUGACCUUUAUUUGAUUAAAGCUCUGAGGUCCCUUUUCAGUAAAUCAAGUGUCACUUGAAUUACCAACAGAUGGACAAUCUUACAAGCUGAUCACGUUAGUUUGUUCUAGGAAAAAGACAGUCAUUUUUGUUGUUUCAGCCCCUGGACUCUUAGUAAUAGUCUGUGACCAACCCUGCCUGAACCCCCAGUGAGUUCUCUGCUAACUAACCACUAAUACAGAGCUUCAGAGCAGCUGAUGAUCUAGGAGGGAACACGGGAGAAACACAAAUGAAUCUUUAAAAAGUCAAGAGAUUAGAACUUUAUUGAAAAACGAAACAUGAAGUGCUAGCUAAUAAAGUAUAUUAAAAUCUAUAGAGACUGUCUGCUAGGGUAAUUGGAAUGACUGUCAGAGAUCCUCUCAAAGGAGUAGAAUGCUCAAUUUUCUUUUGAAGUGAGUUGAUUUUUUUGUGUCAAAAGGAAUAGGACAUGAGGAAUGGUGACUUAACAGUUCUCUGGCUAUGGACAGCGUGAGGUUUUGUCGUGUACAGAGAAUGGUGCAAAGGAAAAUAGGAGGUAGAUGACCAUGAAGAAAUUGGACAUCAUAGGACCCCGAGGCCUCUAAACUGGAACAUUGUGGCUGUGCUAAUAGGGAGUCACUGUAGUGUUUGGAAAGUGGCGUGCCAGGUUGGAUCGAAGGUUAAGAGUAGAUGAAUAGAGGCAGAGAUGCUUCAACUGAAAUUCACAUGAAUGGUAGGAAUUUCAGCAUUUGGAGUUUGCUGAAUAGAUUAAUCACGUUGGGAAAAAUAAUAACAAUAAUAGUAACAGAAUAGAAUAAUUGUCUCAAAUAGUAAAAAAAAAAAGAAUAGAGUCAGAGGUCCUCAUUGGAGUGCACAUACUACUUAAGGUCUGUGCUCUUCCACUGUGUUUGACUUUCUCAUAUAAAGAAAGAUGUUUCAUGAGCACAUUCUUUCAUGGCUUAGAGCUCUGUAAAAGUCAUAUAUUUGAAAGAGUACUGAGCUUAAAAUCAUAAGACUUGGGUGUUGGUCCUGACUUGACUACUGAAUGACUGUGUGACUUUGGACAAGUCUCCUCAUGUCUCUUGGUUUCCUUGACUAUAAAAAGGGACUAAUGAUCUUUACUAUGCCUAUGUCACAAGAUUGCUGUUAAUAUUAAAUAAGGUGUCUCACAUGAAAAUGCUUUGUUAAAUCAUAAGGUGCUAUUGAUAAGACCUAGUUCUUAAUAAAUUAUUUUGCCCCAGACUUAAUCAAUGAGGAGCAUCUCAUUAAUAUUUUAGCCUUUUAGCCUAAUAAUAUUAGCCUUUUUAUCACAGUUUUGACUUUGCUUUUAUAUUUUAUAGUGAAUAAAAAUUAAAUUCUUUCCUUGGAUUAUAGGCACUAUUGCUAAUAUUGUUUGAACUUUGUGACUAGGGCUUGCCUAGGUAAGCUUAUUGGAAAUUAUGGGGUAUGUUUAUAUUUGUAUAUUAUUUCUCAGAUAUCUACAGAUUAUCUGAAUGAUACGUAGCACAUUUUAUGAACUGAAUAUUACAUGUGAGAAAUGUUGUUGCUACACCUAUAAGAUUUCCUUUAUUCAAGGUCAUUUCCAAUUGCUUUUGAUUCUCAUCAUCUAAAGGAGUUAUUUCCAAAUAACUCACUUUGUUUCCAAAAAAGGCUACCAAAUGUUUUCAUAAUAAUCUCAUGCUGAGGGGAUGUAAUUGCCUAGUCCCUGUCCCCUAACAAUAUCUGUUUCACUAUGUCAUGAUACUCAGUCUCUGCAAGCUGAAGAAAAUAGAAUGCCAUCUGAAGAAAUAUAUCAAGUCUUCCUUCUGUCUACAUUCAUUAAAUACCCUCCCUUGUUAAGCCAGUGCAACAUAGACCUGCAUUUUUUCUAGUUUGACUUUUAUUUCUUAGCUUAAGAGCUGUAUGCACUGACCCCAGACUGGAUUUGAGUUUAGCAGAAGUUUUGAGAUGGACCUUAGGCAUGAGGAAUCUGCAUGGACCACUGAGAAGCCAUGCUCGGCUUCUCUAAUGUCUGGCUUUGGCGAUUGGGUUAGAAAUAUGGCAUCGUUCAAAGGGCUCAACAGAACUGGGCUUUGAUAGGCAGGUGUUGCAUAGUGGAAACGUAGAAUUUGUCAAAAUAUACCAAUGCAGGUACAUGGAUGUUAAAGGGAUUUUCUUCAUCUCUCCCUCUGUCUCCUUUAGCGGCUGGAGAGCAGGGUUUCUAUGUAGAUGUAAACUGACAGGUUCAGUGAGUCAGGGAACCAGAGCUGAGGAUUCCUUUGCCAAAGAGACCAGUACCUGAGGAGACGAAGUAGCCUGCCCUCUGACAGGAAGUUAGCAGGGACAGUUGGUAAGUGAGGAGAUAAGGAAGCAGCCACUAAGAGUUGAGGGUCUUUACCUCUGGUAUCUCUAGAGAGCAGGAGGUCUGUCUCUCAGGCAAGGAUCUGCUGGCAGUUGGCUAUUGCCAGUUGGGCUGCUAUAGAAAACUGAUAGAAGGAGUGAGUAAGUGGUGGCUAUCUAUUAUUUUAGGGAGUUAGGUAGUUCACGAAUAAUUUAUAGAUAUAGUAGAGUAGAUUAGGCCUCGUGUGACAGACAGAAGAAUCUGUACUGAGAAGACAGUUAGAGAUAGUUUUAGGAAAUUUUAGGUAGUAUUAGGAAUUUUAGGAAUAUUUAUAAGAUUAUAUAUAAGGUAUAUGAGGUAUAAGAUUAAUAAUCUCUCUUUCCUCUUUUCUAUCUUUCCAUCUGUACUUCUUUCUUAAAUUAAACUGCUCUCCUCUCUUUGUUGAACUCCUUAAUUUAACCCUUAUCCAGGGAACUCCUCAACCAACUGAGAUUUUUUAAAAACAUUGAUUAUAGAGGCAAGGAACAGUGUCAUAGCGUCCUUAUAAGUUAGCACAGUUCUAACAAAAGUGAGCAGUGUAUUACAACAUAAUACUUGAGGGAAGCAAAGGGCAACAUAAUGUGGUUGGCAUUUUCCUUAACUCUAUUUGGAGAAAAGAGAGGAUCAAAAAAGAGUGUGAAUCAUACAGUGAUGACAGAUAACACAAAGAACACAGAGCAUCCCAGUUCUUAUUUUGUUUUCAUUUUCUCUAAAAAGAGGAAUGACUAUUACUCUAGAAAUGACAGAACAAAAAUGCUCAGUUAAACUAUAUCUUUGCAUCAUGAAAGAAAUGAAAGGUGUGACUGUCAAACUACCAUCAGCUAUAUUUGUAAGAUCAUGGAAAAGAAAGAGUUAUAAAAUGGAGGCAGAACAAAUUUUGUCUCAGUUUUUUUUUUCCUAAAGGGAGGGUAGUUAGAAGAGAAUAGAGCUUUUAAAUUAUAUGCCAGGGACCUUAACUUCCAUUUCUGGGUAAAUUCUUGAAAGAAUAAUUUAAAGAGAUGGUGGAUUACUAUCCAGGAGGGAAAGCAGUAAUUAGAAACUGCUAUCGUGAUUUUCUGAAAAUAAACAAACAAGACUAACCUUAUUUCUUUAUUUGAAUAUUUCUAAUUAGUAAAUUAUGAUGUGGUUAAAGUUUGCCUAGAUCUAGCAAAGCUUUUCAAAUGCAGAAUUUAAGAAGAUGUGGAUCAUUUGGAAAGAUUAAGAAUUUGUUGGAUGGCUGAAAUCAAAGACUAGUUAGUUGUUAUUGAUGGUUCAGUGUCAUUCAGACAGUAAGAUCUCCCAAGGCUUAGCCCAGAAAUUUGUACUUGCCUCUCUGGUGGUUAACUGUAAGUUGAUCAGAUUUUCAGAUGAUACAUCUAAAGGUGGUAGUUAAAUAUUCUUGAAGACAGUCAGGAUUUGAAAGUAUCUGAAGAGGCAGAAUCAACACUGGGCAGUCUAGUAUGCUGAGAUUCACUAGGGAAAAAUAUAAGGCCUUAUAUUUUUAUUAUAAGAAUUAACUCUGUUCCUUGUGGUGGCAAAAAAUUGGAAAAUGAGGGGAUGCCCUCCAAUUGGGGAAUGGCUGAACAAAUUGUGGGGUACAUUGGUGAUGAAAUAUUAUUGUGUGGAAAGGAAUAAUAAAGUGGAGGAAUUCCAUGUAAACUGGAAUAAUCUCCAAGAAUUGAUGCAGAUUGAGAGGAUCAGAACCAGGAGAACAUUAUACACAGAGACUGAUACAUGGUGGCACAAUCGAAUGUAAUGGACUUCUCUACUAGCAGCAAUGCAAUGACCCAGGAUAUUUCUGAAGGACUUAUGAAAAAGAAUGCUCUCCACACCCAGAGAAAGAACUGUGGGAGUAGAAACAGAAGAAAAACAACUGCUUGAUCACAUGGGUCGGUGGGGCUAUGAGCACCCUGGUGCAAUUAUUAUCAAUAAUAUAGAAAGAGGUCUUUACCAAUGACACAUGUAAAACCCAGUGGAAUUGUGCAUUUGCUAUGGGAGGGGGUUGGUGCAAGGAGAGGGAAAGAGCAUAAUUUUUAUAAUCCUGGAAAAUACUCUAAUCAAAUAAAAUUAAAACAAAGAAAAACAAAAAUAAAAUGGAGGUGGCAUGGAUAAACAGAUUUUGCUUUGAAAGGGAUUUGGGGGAUUUUAUUGUACUCCAAUAUCAUCAUUAGUCAACAGUAGGAUUGGAAUAAUAAAAAAUAAUAUUCAGUGCUCUGUGCCAUGAUUAAUGAAGGGUAUUGACAAGCUGGAGAAUAUCCAGAGGAGGGCAACCAGAACAAUUUGACAGACCUUUUAAAACAUAUAAGAACUGGUUGAAAGAAUUGGAUGAAUUUAAAUGGAAUAAAAGAAUUCUUAGAAUUGACAGGGCAACUGUGUUGACGUAUUUGAAAGACCAUCAUGUGGAAGAACGAUUAAACUUGUUCGAUUUGGCCCCAGAUAGACAAACUCAGAAAGUGCAGUGGCCAAGAGUUGCAGAGGCAAAUUUAGGACACAAGAAAUACAGCUGGCCAAAAAUGGAAGGGUUUCCCUUAAGAAGGGGCAUAUUCCCUCCUGGUAUGCCCCUGGUUUUCAUGCAGAAGUUGGGCAACCACUUGUCUAGUGUAAUUUACCCAUGGCCAUAUAGGUAGUCAGUGCCCAAACUGGCAACUCAGACAAGUAGUUCACCUUAAUCAGAUGAGGAGACUGAGGUUCAGAGUGAAAGGAUUUUAGGUUUUACAGUAACCAGAAGUAAAGGUAGUUUAUAACUUCUUCAGAGGCAAAGACUAUGUCAUUCUUGAACUUUUCUGAGUGAUUUUUGAAAUAAAGAAAGCUUUAAGGAGGUAAUUUGCUUAAGAUCACACAGGUCCUUUUGGGCCCAUCCAUUCUAUAGUCUGCUUUUGUACUGGUAGCAGCCUGUGGAGAUGGUGCCAUAGGACUUGGUCUUGAAACCCAUGUCAUAUUUGACUUCAAUUAAAUCAGUUACUCCCUGAACAUCACUUCCCUUCUCCAUUAGGUGUAGAAGUAGAUAAACAAAGUCUUUUGGAAAGACCUCACAAAGCCUUAGUAAUCUAAAUACCUGGUUCGAAAUUCUGCUUCUUAAGAUUAUUCCUUGCAUGAUCUUAGGCAAGCCACUUUGUUAAAAGGAAAAUUCUGUUUUCAAGUCUUCACCCUGAUAAAAGAGGCAAAAUUGAAGAAGAGAAAAUGUAAAAUAGUUGGAUGGCCACAAGGGAACCAACAGUGGGAAUUCUAACAAGGUCCACUUUUAAAGACAGCUCAUCAUGAUAAGAAUAAGAGAAUUCUAAUAUGUACACAUCUGCAAAAGUGAGUGGGUCAUUGCAUCAUAGCUCCUCACCAUUGCUGCUACAGUCAUAGAGAAAUGAAAUUAGAGAAAAGAGGAAUGGGAUGAAAGCCCGUGUAGCUAUGUGGGGUCGCCUAGGGCACAAAUGUCAAUAACUCAGCAUCUUUAGGUCUCAAGUAUUACGUGAGGCAGGUGGACCAGCUGGAUCCUUCUACCUCUAUAUCUCUAGCUUAUGAGCAAUUCAUAGUUUACUUUGGCCAGAAGGCCAUUUCUGUAUUUAAAGUUAUGUCUUCAGAAGGUCCUGGGUUCAAAUUUGGCCUCAGAAUUUCCUGGCUAUGUGACUGGGUGAGUGACUUAACUUUCAUUGCCUAGCUGAUACCACUCUGCUCCCUUGGAGCAAAUACAGUUUUGAUUCCAAGACAGAAGAUAAGAGGUUUUUGAGAGAUAGUUAGGUCGUCAAGUCUUAAUUUUUAGGAAAAAUGAAAAUAUAUGUUUUGGUCAUGCAAUCUACUGGGGCAUGUAAUACCUUUAUGUAUUUGAAUAACAUAAAAUUUUUAAUUUGCAAUGUCUAAAUGUUAUCAAAAACCUAAUCUUUAAUAUUUUUUAAUUCCUUUUUUUUUCUUCCCUUUGGUCUCCUGAACCUCCCCUUAUUUAGGAGAAAGCUAUGUUCCUUCUCUAUAAUUGUAGUCCCUUAAAUCAUGUUGUGUUUUUUUCAAUCGCAAUGGCAAGCUACUUUAAGAAUAGCCUAUCCUGAAGCAGUGUUUCUAUUUAUAUUAAUGUGAUCCAGGCAUCUCACAGCAACAGAGGCUUUUCUUCUUUUGUUUGUUUGAUUUUUUCACUGCAAAAACCCAAUAUUUUUCAAUGAAGAGCAAAAACCUUUUUUUAAAGGGCAUCAGAGUCAGAAAGAAAUUUGCACUUUAUUAUUUAGCUAAAACAUGUUUUGAUUUAGCUUGAAAAGCUAAAUCCUAAAAUUGAUUGAGACUUUCUUUUAGUAAUCAUUAUCAGUUGAAUAAUAGCUAGUUUUAGGCCCUGAAACUUUAAUAAUCUAAUAUCAUUCAAAUUAAGUUCUUCCUAAAAAGAAAUUUCCAUUGAAGGAACACUUUAGUUUUUUUUUUCUUAGCCACCUUGCUAAUUAAGUAUUAGAAACAUUAGCAAUCAAAUACUUCUUAGCAUUUUAAAGAAGUGAACAUUUCCCAUUACAAAAAAAUACAAUUCAUGUAUACCCCAGAAAAAAAUUAAAAAACAAAUAAAUUUGAUUUCCAUAGAGUACUUAUUGUUUUAUUGGACAACCUUUCUUUUCUUCUAAAUGGGAACAGCAGAGGAGACUAUAAUUGCAAUUUAAUCCCUAUAAGUAACUCCCAGUGUGUAAAUUAUAAAUCAUAACCUUCAAAGUAGAUUGAAUACUUCUUUCAAUAUUAAAGUAACCCUUCUUUCCAUACUACCUUUCCAUUUCUCUUACACUUUUCUCCCUCUCCUGACCUUUCUUGCUUCUGCCAUUUUUGUUGUUUUUGAAUUUUGCUUCUUUAACUUUUAUUUUCAAUUCCAAAUACUUUUUUCCUAUGUAGUCCCUCCCUCACCCUUGGAGAAGGCAAGCCAUAUAAUACUUAUAUGUGCAAAAUAUAUUUCCAUAUUAUCCAUGUUGCCAAAAAAAAAGGCAAGGAAAAUAAAGUGAAAAAAAUGCUCCAUUUGCACUCAGAGCUCAUCAAUUCUUUCUCUGUAAGUGGAGGACUUUUUUCAUCAUGAAUCAUGAGUUUGGAACUGUCAGAGAUCAGUGUUAAUCACAGUAGUUAAGUUUUUCACUGUCGAUCACUGUUAUAUUGCUGUUAGCGUAUACAAUGUUCUCCCUGCUUGGCUCACUUCACUUUUCAUCAGUUCAUAAAAGUCUUGCCAGGUUUUUCUGAGACCAUCUACCUUGUCAUUUCUCAUGGCUCCCCAUGUCCAUGGGAGAUACAGUUGAAGACCUGCUGCAGGUUUUUGAAACUAGGGCUCAGUGAAUAUCUGCUGACCUCAUAUGUGUGUGUGUGUGUGUGUGUGUUCCCUCUCUCUCCUUCUGUUGCUUGGCUUUGUGAUUUGCACUAAUCCUUUCAUUCCUGCCCCCCCCAAAAACCCUUAAAAAUGUAAAAUUGAAAGUGGAAAAAACUGAAACCCCAAAUUGGAGAGAUUUCCACAUGGCCAAAAUGAUGCCCUGGUAGUCCUCUUACCAUCCUUUGCAGGCAACACUGACCGCAGAUAAUAAACUAGAGGCAUUGAAUUUGUGGAUAAGG